GUAAAGGGAGCGCAGGCGGUUGGAAUAGUCUGAUGUGAAAGCCCACGGCUUAACCGUGGAAGGUCAUUGGAAACUGUCCAACUUGAAUGCAGAAGAGGUAAGUGGAAUUCCAUGUGUAGCGGUGAAAUGCGUAGAUAUAUGGAGGAACACCAGUGGCGAAGGCGACUUACUGGUCUGUAAUUGACGCUGAGGCUCGAAAGCGUGGGUAGCGAACAGGAUUAGAUACCCUGGUAGUCCACGCCGUAAACGAUGAGUGCUAAGUGUUGGAGGGUUUCCGCCCUUCAGUGCUGGAGUUAACGCAUUAAGCACUCCGCCUGGGGAGUACGGCCGCAAGGCUGAAACUCAAAGGAAUUGACGGGGACCCGCACAAGCGGUGGAGCAUGUGGUUUAAUUCGACGCAACGCGAAGAACCUUACCAGCUCUUGACAUCUUCUGUUCACCCUAGAGAUAGGGCUUCCCCUUCGGGGGCAGAAUGACAGGUGGUGCAUGGUUGUCGUCAGCUCGUGUCGUGAGAUGUUGGGUUAAGUCCCAUAACGAGCGCAACCCUUAUUGUUAGUUGCCAGCAUUCAGUUGGGCACUCUAGCGAGACUGCCGGUGAUAAACCGGAGGAAGGUGGGGAUGACGUCAAAUCAUCAUGCCCCUUAUGAGCUGGGCUACACACGUGCUACAAUGGACGGUACAACGGGUAGCGAGGGCGCGAGCCUUAGCAAAUCCUAAUAAGCCGUUCUCAGUUCGGAUUGUUCUCUGCAACUCGAGAGCAUGAAGCCGGAAUCGCUAG
rnacentral:rRNA from 1 species